rnacentral:rRNA from 1 species
GACGAACGCUGGCGGCGUGCUUAACACAUGCAAGUCGAACGGAAAGGCCCUGCUUUUUUGGGGUUCUCGAGUGGCGCACGGGUGAGUAACACGUGAGUCUCCUUCCCUUUCCUUUGGGAUAACUUCAAUCAGCUGGGGCUAAUACCUGCUUCGAGCUCCUGCUGCUUGGUGGGUUUUGGAACGUUUCGGCGGUUGGGGAUGGACUGGCGGCUUAUUAGCUUGUUGGUUGGGUAGUGGCUUACCAAGGCUUUGGCGGGUAGGCGGCCAGAGAGGGUGACCGGCGACAUGGGGACUGAGAGAGGGACCAGAGUGGUAAGGGAGGCAGCAGGGGGGAAGAUGGUACAAUGGGCGGAAGUAUGAUGCAGAAACGCUGCGAGAGGGAUGACGGACUGCGGGUGGGAAACCGCAUUCGGCUGAGACGAAGCGUGAGUGACGUUACCGGGUAAAGAAGCACCGGCUAACUACGUG